AAAGCGUUAUUUGUAUUACUUCCGUGUGGACGUAUGCGCGUGUGCGAUUGUGAGUGAAUUGAACGGCGCAAUUACAAAUUACAAAAUAAAGUUUAAAAAACAUCUAUGUCGUGCGCGCAAUACAACUGUGCUGCUUUUAUUUUGAAAUGUGUUAUUUAUGCCGUAUGUCCGGAGGGAACCUGUGAGGGAAGGUGCAUAGAGACAAGUGAUGAGACGCUAAAAAAAGAAAAGUUGAUGAGGAAUGGCGUGUUUCCAACAAGAGAUGGACUGCCAAGUAUUUCUUUACAUAAAUUAAUGGUAAAGCCGUGUGCUUAAUGUGUGGUACACAGGUUGCUGUGUUUAAAUAUCAUUUUAAUCGCCACUACACGAAGAAACACGAGGGAAAAUACCGGGAUGUGUCUGAUGAAGCGCGCGCAAGGGAGGCUGAUGCGUUGAUGGUAAAACUGCAAACCCAACAAGGACUUUGUGCCAUAUUUCACACCCCCAGAGAUGCAGCCGUCAGGACAAGUUUCGUCAUUUCUCACAAAAGCGCCAGAAAAAGUAAGGCGUUUUCUGACGGAGAGUUUAUUAAGGAGUGCUUAUUGGACUUUGUUGCGCUGAUAAUGCCCGGAGACAUGGAUUGUUUUUCGCUAACUUUGGAUGAGAGCUCUGAUGCAGUCAAUUAAAGAGACAACCACAGGUCCUAAAUGGGUGUCAAAGUGUCCCAAUUUGUCAGAAUACGUCUUCAGACUUCUUCUGUCCAGAAUCCGUACAUUUAUGUUCUCAAAGGAGUGCUGUUUCACCCUGAGGUGCAGGUAGACAGCUGAGUCUUGGCCUGAAGAGUUUGCCCGUCUAUGCUGUGCCAUACUUUGCU